UAUUAAAAAUUUCAUUAAUUCUUACUGUUUAAAACUGCUGUCAUUGACGAAAUAACCAGAUAAUUACACGUGGUGUGCCACAUGUACCUUAUAUUGACAUAAAAGGAGCAGUUUUCAACCGUAAAAGUAGAUGAAAAUUUUCAAA
rfam:Gossypium raimondii Chr06_contig_25, whole genome shotgun sequence.